UACGUAGGGUGCGAGCGUUGUCCGGAAUUAUUGGGCGUAAAGAGCUCGUAGGCGGUCUGUCGCGUCGGUCGUGAAAACUUGGGGCUUAACCCUGAGCUUGCGGUCGAUACGGGCAUGACUGGAGUUCGGUAGGGGAGACUGGAAUUCCUGGUGUAGCGGUGAAAUGCGCAGAUAUCAGGAGGAACACCGGUGGCGAAGGCGGGUCUCUGGGCCGAUACUGACGCUGAGGAGCGAAAGCGUGGGGAGCGAACAGGAUUAGAACCCC
rnacentral:rRNA from 1 species